rnacentral:lncRNA from 1 species
CUCGUGGUAGGGGACCGAAGGCCGCUGGCUCUGGGCUGCCUUCGCGGCUCUCUGACUCGUACCGGUGUCCCUCUGCUGCUCAGGCCUCCCUUUCGGCGCGGUACGGUCUCAUGGUUUGGGAUGGUCUCCUCAGACGGGGCGGUUGAACAGAAAAGAACAUUAACACUUUUGGAAUGCUGCUGCUCAUGUCGUACAGGAAAUCAGCUUAUAUUCAAGUAGUGCUGGCACUUUGAUUGCUGUUUGUUCCUGGUUUACCUGCAGUGGGGAGAUAUUAGGAGGAAUAGGAAAGCGGUUCUGUAGGUAAGAAACAAGGAAAAGUUUUGUUGCUCAGAUAAGAGCAGCAAGUAUAAUUUCUUUUUCAUUUUUUUACAAUGUGUUUGUUCUCUGCUAAGAGUGAACCUCACACUUUUGGGUUUUAGCAGCUAUUUUGUUUAUUGACUUUGUCUGUCGGUAAUGUAGUUUUUGCAUUAAUAUUUUCAUGAGCAUGCUCUUGACGUUUUUAUUAAACGAUAAUGCAGUAAGACAGUGUUUAUAGAUCUCUGAACUUUAUUUUGUAUUUUUAGUUUAUGAAAAGUGGUUAAAUAUUUCCAAAAGAGUAUCUUAAUAUACAAAUAUACAUACGUUUGUGAAUUGUUAGUAAAAUCAGUACAUCACGACAACUUUUCUAAGGCCUUCAAAAUUUUGAUCUGCCUAAUAGUCACAGGAAUAACAUUAUUUUACAGGAA